GAUGAAGAACGUAGCGAAAUGCGAUAAGUAAUGUGAAUUGCAGAUUUCAGUGAAUCAUCGAAUCUUUGAACGCACCUUGCGCCUUGUGGUAUUCCACAAGGCAUGCCCGUUUGAGUAUCAUUAAAUCAUCAACUCUAAAACCUUUGUGGUUUUUUUUAGAGCUUGGUCUUGAGGGUUUUGCAGGCUUUUUUUUUUUCGAGUCUGCUCCCUUUAAAUGCAUUAGCGAGACUUCCCUAUGCUGAACCGUCUCUUUGACGUGAUAAUUAUCUGCGUCGAAUUUUGGUUCUCGUUGGGCUUGCUUCUAAUCGUCUGUUAAAGACAAAACGGAUUUGGGUGCAUAUAUGCGCCUUUUUCCAAAACCUUUUUUUGAUCUCAAAUCGGGUAGGACUACCCGCUGAACUUAAGCAUAUCAAUAAGCGGAGGA
rnacentral:misc_RNA from 1 species